rnacentral:tRNA from 1 species
UGUGGCGUAGCUCAGUCGGUAGAGCCGAGUUGCCAGUUAUGCAGAGGGGUCGCUGGUUCGAAUCCAGCCGCCAUGC